CAAACCCAGCGCUGACGAUCCCCGCCCGUUAUUUUUCCCUUUUCAUAAUUCGGGCUAGUAGUAGCCCAGGGAGAAGUGAAAAAUUGCCCCCGCCACCACAAAUUCCUGUUCCCAGGCCAGGAAGGCGUAGUUGAAGAGUCACCCACCCCUGACGUAACCCUUCUCCUUGGGAAGACCCACCGGGUACCGGGAGUUUCCCCGAGUUGGCAACGUGGGCUAUAAGAGUGGGAGCUGUUGGCCAGUGAAAGGGUAGAAGCCCUGGAGCUCUGCUCGCACGCCCAGGCCAUGCUGCCACCCCUGAGGGUUGUCCUCUUUCCUCCUAACGCAGACACGAAUGGGCUUGUCCACUCGGUCUGCUUCCAUGGGUAGAGCCCACCCUCCAGCUGGGAGAUGCGGGAUCGAGACCUCACCAACGCUUCAUCUCUCUCCUGGUUGCACCAUUUCUCCCCACCCACCGGAGGAAGCCCCAGAGCGGAGGCGGUGGCCCGGCCGCUAGCCCUGCUCAGGAAGGAAGCAGGGGGAGACAGGCAGGAGGUCUGUGAGAAUCAGCAGCAACGUUAUCUGCUUCCCAGCUGGGAUGGGAGAGUGCUGGGAAGGAAGAGGAGCUCUGCUCUUCCCCUUCUCAGCGCGGUAUUUCAUGGUUGGGAGGUACCAAAUAACUCCCGUAAAACACUGUCCUGGGCACGCUCUGCUUCAUGCUGCCACCGGGACAGGAACUUUGGUAUUUCUGCUAAAUCCUUACUGUCUGUCUGGUCCAAAACAAUAAAAUAAACAAUGCCAAAUCUA